rnacentral:tRNA from 1 species
UUAAAUGAAGCCAAAAAGAGGCAUGUCAUUGUUAAUGAUAUUAGUGAAAUAUAUGUUUCCAUUUAGA